GCGUGGGUGUCGGCGCCAGUGGCUGCGGGAAUUGAACCCAGGUCCUCGGGC
rnacentral:tRNA from 1 species